rnacentral:rRNA from 1 species
GUCGAGAAUCAUUCACAAUGGGGGAAACCCUGAUGGUGCAACGCCGCGUGGAGGAUGACGGUCCUCGGAUUGUAAACUCCUGUCAUCCGGGAGUAAGACCUGGGAGUGAACAGCUCACAGGGUUGAUAGUACCGGAAGAGGAAGGGACGGCUAACUUCGUGCCAGCAGCCGCGGUAAUACGAAGGUCCCAAGCGUUGUUCGGAAUCACUGGGCGUAAAGGGUGCGUAGGCGGCAUGGCAAGUCAGAUGUGAAAUCCCGGGGCUCAACCCCGGAACUGCAUCCGAUACUGCCGUGCUUGAGGACCGGAGAGGAGACUGGAAUUCUCGGUGUAGCAGUGAAAUGCGUAGAGAUCGAGAGGAACACUCGUGGCGAAGGCGAGUCUCUGGACGGUUCCUGACGCUGAGGCACGAAGGCCGGGGGAGCGAAAGGGAUUAGAAACCCCUGUAGUCC